UCCCAGCAGUCCAAGUCGCAACCACAUUUGUUGGGUCUAAAACAUCCGUAGCUCGCUUCGUAAGUCUGUCGUGAAAUCCUACCUCUUAAGGGUAGAAGUGCGAUAGGUACUGCGGGGCUAGGGACCGGGAGACGUAACGAGUACGCAUAGAGUACCGGUAAAAUGGGUUGAUCCUAUGUGGACUAACAACAGCGAAGGCACGUUACGAGCACGGAUCCGACAGUGAGGGAUGAAGGCUAGGGGCGCAAAGUGG
rnacentral:rRNA from 1 species